AAUUGGUUACAUUCCCUUGAGUUGAUCUGGCUCAGAUUGAACGCUGGCGGCAUGCCUUACACAUGCAAGUCGAGCGGCAGCGCGGGGGCAACCCUGGCGGCGAGCGGCGAACGGGUGAGUAAUGCAUCGGAACGUGUCCUUUUGUGGGGGAUAACCAGUCGAAAGACUGGCUAAUACCGCAUGAGCUCGCAAGAGGAAAGCAGGGGACCCGCAAGGGCCUUGCGCGAGAGGAGCGGCCGAUGCCCGAUUAGCUAGUUGGUGGGGUAAUAGCCCACCAAGGCGACGAUCGGUAGCUGGUCUGAGAGGACGACCAGCCACACUGGGACUGAGACACGGCCCAGACUCCUACGGGAGGCAGCAGUGGGGAAUUUUGGACAAUGGGGGCAACCCUGAUCCAGCCAUGCCGCGUGUGUGAAGAAGGCCUUCGGGUUGUAAAGCACUUUCGGCCGGAACGAAAUCGCGCGAUCUAAUAAAUCGCGUGGAUGACGGUACCGGAAGAAGAAGCACCGGCUAACUACGUGCCAGCAGCCGCGGUAAUACGUAGGGUGCGAGCGUUAAUCGGAAUUACUGGGCGUAAAGUGUGCGCAGGUGGCCGAGCAAGUCGAGUGUGAAUCCCCGGGCUUACUUGGGAUUGCGCUCGAACUACUUGGCUCGAGUGUGGCAAGGAGGUGGAAUCCCGUGUAGCGUGAAUGCUAAGAGUGGAGACACGAUGGGACGACCUCUGACACCUGCCUCUGACGAAGCUGGACAACAGAUAAUCCGCAUCCGCUAACAAUACAU
rnacentral:rRNA from 1 species